rnacentral:rRNA from 1 species
AUUGAACGCUGGCGGCAGGCCUAACACAUGCAAGUCGGACGGUAGCACAGAGGAGCUUGCUCCUCGGGUGACGAGUGGCGGACGGGUGAGUAAUGUCUGGGGAUCUGCCCGAUAGAGGGGGAUAACCACUGGAAACGGUGGCUAAUACCGCAUAACGUCGCAAGACCAAAGAGGGGGACCUUCGGGCCUCUCACUAUCGGAUGAACCCAGAUGGGAUUAGCUAGUAGGCGGGGUAACGGCCCACCUAGGCGACGAUCCCUAGCUGGUCUGAGAGGAUGACCAGCCACACUGGAACUGAGACACGGUCCAGACUCCUACGGGAGGCAGCAGUGGGGAAUAUUGCACAAUGGGCGCAAGCCUGAUGCAGCCAUGCCGCGUGUAUGAAGAAGGCCUUCGGGUUGUAAAGUACUUUCAGCGGGGAGGAAGGCGAUAAGGUUAAUAACCUUGUCGAUUGACGUUACUCGCAGAAGAAGCACCGGCUAACUCCGUGCCAGCAGCCGCGGUAA